GGCGGGCGGCGGCGGCGACGGUUCCUCCCGCCCAAGUGCGAUGUUCCUCCCGCCCAAGUACGAUAGUCCACAUAAGUACUUCGCUCGCCUUCGUCGACGACGCCCGAUGCAGCCCAAGUGCGAUGUGCUUCCGCCUUAGCCGACGCAGUCGGCCACGACUAGCAGCAACCCCCGAGCCCGACGCACCGCUGCCGCCUGCCGCGGCUCCGCCUACUCCUCUGCCACCGGGUCGCGCUGCGAGGAUAGCCGCCGCUUCAUCAGAGGACGCGCUUAUCAAAGGUACAACCUCAUCGUUCUCCCACCUUGGCCUGGAUUCGGUCAUAAAAAUGGUGCUGGAUAGUGGAUCUGACUGCCCCCUCUCCUGUCUCUGUGUUUCUCCCAUCCGAAACCCUAGGCCGGGCAGAGGCGAGUCUACUGGGCAGGCUCCUCAGGCCCAGCCAUCUACGUCCCCAACUCACCAUUAGCCUGGAAUCCUGAUCCUUCCACACAUUUCCUCUCAAUAUCUGUGUGUUUGACGAGAAGCACGCAACACUCGCAACCCGUGAGAUGCAAAAUUACCAGCACAUGAGUAAUUUAGCACCUUGUGCAUAUGAACGAGUAUUGGAGUACCUAAUUAAGUGAUUAGAGAUUGACUGCUACUUGAUGUUUAGCACCUUUCCGAACAGUACUAACUGAAUGCCCCGUGCCGCUGCAGUAAUCUAGAAAACUUUGCCGAACAAUGUAACUGGGAGAUUUUGGCAAUUGGGCCUGACAAGUCCAAUUUUUUGUUCAAAAUUUGGUAAUUUUCAGAAAAACAUCUAGAAAUAUUCCAGUACUUAUCUGGUAAAUUUUAGAUACUUGGACAAUAAAAUUAGGACAUGAUGGCUAUUUUGCUAAACAGAUCCAAAAUUUGGUUCAAAACUUUGUAUUUUAAGAAAAUCAAAGGUAUCUCAAAUAAUUAUUAAAUGUGCUCAAUAGCAAUCCAGGAAAUUUUGAGCUUAUUUGCACUACGGCAUUAGGAGAUGUUGACUAUUUUUUUCUUUGAUUUUUUGUUUGCUUGGUGUUAAACUUUGAGCCCACCCUUCAUUUUCUUUCUGGAAUCGCCACUGGGCCGGGGAGCUGCUGACGGGUGCCGCAUCUGAAUCCAUGCCGGACCUCUUAUUGCAAGCUUGGAACACACUGCUCGAAGGUGACAGGAUGCCUGGAGCAACUGUCGAUGCAGCAGAAGGUCAGCUGUUCUGCACUGGAUCGGGGAGAUCAGUUUCUGUCAGCUAGAGGGCUAUAAAAAGGGCACGGGCAAUUGGUCAGGAAGGAGGUGGAGAAGACUGAUAUCAAGAGAAGUAAUAGCUUAUGUGCCCAACUUUUGUUUUGUAGUAGAACUGUUCCAUUGUUCGUUUCUGCAUGUAUUGUACCUGAUGACCAUUUUUUGUGUUUGAGAACAACCGUUUGACAACGUACCUGAUGCAGAGGACGUAUCGAGAGAAAGGGACACUCCAUUUAGAGGCAAACCUUGCUUUCACCUUUUUCCCUGUAGAGACAAUAUUGAAUGUUGCAACAAUAGCCGAAAAGUAUGCAGGUUUGAUAAUUGUACCAA